rnacentral:rRNA from 1 species
CGAUAACGAACGAGACCUUAACCUGCUAAAUAGCUAGGCCUAACAUUGUUAGGUCGCCAGCUUCUUAGAGGGACUAUCGGUGUUUAACCGAUGGAAGUUUGAGGCAAUAACAGGUCUGUGAUGCCCUUAGAUGUUCUGGGCCGCACGCGCGCUACACUGAUCAAGUCAGCGAGUUUAAAACCUUUGCCGGAAGGCACGGGUAAUCUUUUGAAACUUGAUCGUGCUGGGGAUAGUCCUUUGCAAUUAUUGGACUUGAACGAGGAAUUCCUAGUAAGCGCGAGUCAUCAGCUCGCGUUGAUUACGUCCCUGCCCUUUGUACACACCGCCCGUCGCUACUACCGAUUGAAUGGCU